UAUGAUAAAACAUGGUUCAGCUAUAUGUUAUUCCUCAAAUAUUAUCUGAUUUUAUUCAAAAUUAAUAUGCCUUUAAAAGCUUUAAUGAGCACUGUAUGUCAUAUUCUUAAAGUCAUUCACUUUUUGGUAGUCUUCUUCGCCAACAUGGAGAAUAAUACAUUUAGAGUUUUAGGUUGCGGAACCCGUUAGAAUAAUCGGGCAAUAUUUUAUAUCUUUGUAUGCGAUUUCGGAUUUCCUCUGUUAUUACUGAAAGUCAUAUGCACGUUUAGCUACAUGUACGAUCGGAGAAUGCCGAAUUACGUCACGGCAGUACGUAAUUAGACGGAAAUUACCGAGUGUCAUUACGUCACCAUUACCUUAACUAUAAAGGAAUCUAACAUUUUUUCAGUAAGUAUUUUGAAUACACUGUAAUAGAAAUUAUGAAACCUCAUAAAAUGUAAACGCCAGUAUUGUUGCAAAAAUGUAGUUGCUAGACAAAUUAUUGGUUGAAAUGAAAUACGUUUAUAAACUGAUAUCCACUUUACCUUACUUUUCCCCCUUUUUGUUAAUAACGGCACACCUAUAAAAUUGUAGGUCAUACUAUAGACCACAUCUGUUACUCAGUUGAAGAGGACGGACACAUCCGAUUUGAUUUUUCUUUAACUUUUAAGGCGUAACUGCUUUCUAAAAUUCAUUAUUAAUAUGAGAUGAAUAAUUAUUGUAAUUUGGAUAUCUCGCUUUUUUUGAAAUGUAAUAAAUAUUGUUUGGCAUCUGUAAAGGAAUACAUACUUUAUUAUGUAUUUUUAACACUGUUAUUCUGUGCAAACUUGAUCUGAAUAUUGGCAUAUGCUUUUUCAACAAAAAUGCACUCUUGAAAGCGCUAAGUCUGUUUAACAUAAUUGCGACGUGCGCUUUUUACCUAUUUAUGCUGUCUGGAAAUGCUUUAUCAGUUUUACUGGUGUUCUAGGUUGGUUAGAUAGUGCAGCCACAAGUUUCGAUGAAGCUUACGUUGCCAACGUCACAAAUAUUGAUCCCAGCAUAAAGACGUAUUACAUCACAGCAUUUUACGUUUACGUUGCUGACGUCAACAGGAUUAGGAAACAUGUCACCAAAUACUAACGGCGGGAAAAUAUUCUCAAUAUUUGCUGUUCUGCUUGGUUGGCUGCUGAGUACUGCAAUCUUCGACGGUAACGUCUCUUCUAAAAUGAUGCGGGUGUAUCAGCGGACAGAUGACUACCAAGAUUUUUUUUUUAAAAACUUUCAUCAUCUUCCGAAGAAUCCUGCACACUGAUUGCAAGAGACCUUCCAACACAUCUGGCUGUACACUUAUGGAACACGGUUUUAAAGAGUUUCCCGGAGUGCCUUCAAGCAAUUAUAUAACUUCAUUUGAACAGAAACUUGCUGAAUAAGUGCCCAGCGUUCCAGAAGGCAUUUACAGGUCAUAUGGCGACUUUCCGGCUCGAAGGAAUAUCCCAGGUACCCACUCCAAGCAUUAUUUUGUGCAUGAGUGGACAACUUGAUAGAACCUCGCACAUCCACAAAGUCCACUUAAUGUUUUCCUCACAUGAAAGAAUUCUACUCCACACCGAGGUUUAGAACCUAUAUCGUCGAGAGGCAAGUAAAGUCACCGACCGUAGCCACUCGGGCAUGUAGGCCCGUCCUAGCAUUUAUAAAACUCUGAUCGUGUGGCGAAAUAUUCGAAUUGCUGUCAAUAGCAAAUGUGACUUUCAAACAGAAUAAAAGCACGAAACUCUUUAUUUGUUUAUCUCAAAAACUGACAAGGUUUUCACACAAAAUAUCAUACAAAUUGUAAUUCUUACGGAAACUGAACAAAAAAUAAAAACUUUUUUCGCCAUUUUCUGUUUGUAAAGAAAAAGCAAUAUUUGAUUUGCUAUAAAUUGCUAUUAAUGAAGACUUUUCCUCUAUAACAUAUGAACAGCUUAGCUUUUAUAUUUUUUAACUUUUAAAUAUGAAA